rnacentral:rRNA from 1 species
GAGUUUGAUCCUGGCUCAGGACGAACGCUGGCGGCGCGCCUAACACAUGCAAGUCGAACGGAGCUGAGAGGAGCUUGCUUUUCUCAGCUUAGUGGCGAACGGGUGAGUAACGCGUGAGUAACCUGCCCUGGAGUGGGGGACAACAGUUGGAAACGACUGCUAAUACCGCAUAAGCCCACGAUCCGGCAUCGGAUUGAGGGAAAAGGAUUUAUUCGCUUCAGGAUGGACUCGCGUCCAAUUAGCUAGUUGGUGAGGUAACGGCCCACCAAGGCGACGAUCAGUAGCCGGUCUGAGAGGAUGAACGGCCACACUGGAACUGAGACACGGUCCAGACUCCUACGGGAGGCAGCAGUGGGGAAUCUUCCGCAAUGGGCGAAAGCCUGACGGAGCAACGCCGCGUGAGUGAUGACGGCCUUCGGGUUGUAAAACUCUGUGAUCCGGGACGAAAAGGCAGAGUGCGAAGAACAAACUGCAUUGACGGUACCGGAAAAGCAAGCCACGGCUAACUACGUGCCAGCCGCCGCGGUAAUAC